AGAAAAAAAAUUAUAAACUAACUAUAAAUAAUCUCAAUAUCAUGUUUUUUAUGUCUCACUGUAAAAAAAUUAUAAUAAUAGAUUUUCAUAUUCAGUAUUUUUGUACAAUGCAAUAUACAUGCAAAAUACAAUGCAAUGAUCUUUCAAUAUACUUUAUGUUUAACCACAGAAUGCUGCGACUGAGCAAUCAGAACGAGGGCUGUGUUACACAUAAAUGUAUGCAAAAAUAAUCAUGCAAAAUAGGAUAAAAGAGCACACUAAAUGUUUCAUUCACACAUCCAUGUUUAUUCCCUGCAUUGCAGCAGAGCGAUUUUCAAAUUUCAUAUUUGUAAUGGCCGAUGUUAUGCUUCAUAAUGCAGCACUGUUCUUGCUUAUCACUGCAUGCUGCUAUUUAUAGAGCUUCCCAAGAGCAGAGAAAGACUCCCAUCUGAAAGAGCACACACACACACACACACACUCACCUCGUGCUGAGGGAAGAAAGUAGCUGCAGUGGGAGGGGUAGAAAAAAGGUAGAUUGCUGAAACUCACAGAGUAAGAACUUGAGAACGAGGUUAGACAGAGAAGGUGAGAAAUGUGUGGAUAUGAUUGAUGGGCACAACACCACAUGAAAAAAGGUGAAAGAAGAAUAUAAAGGAGGUGAGACAGGAAAUGGAGGAGGGAGAGAGAAGAAUAGAAGAGAGAUGAACAGCAUGAGGAAUAUUUCUAAACUCAUCCAUCUGAAAGAUUGCACAUUUUGCUCUUACCAUGAACAAGACCCUGAUGGAUUGAACAAUAAGAGCAGAAGCCAUGAAUGGUGUCCACACAAAGGAGCAAGCAAUAAUUCACAUGAUCUUGGAAUCCAGUUAAUUCAUUGGUGUACAAAUGAAGCCUGCUAUGUUUUAGAUCAUAUAAGGUGCCAUGUGUCUAUUUGCUUUGAACUCAUGAUAAAUUGCUUUAUUAUGCUUGAUUUGUGCAAAGCCAAGUGACAUCAUGUGUUCUUAUUAUGUCAGAUUUAUGGCAUGGAAGUUUAAAUCCAUUGAAUGUUUUCAAAGGUCACAAUCUGAUUAAUCACCUUCACAAUUUGAUUGACACUCUAAUAUAAGAAUGGAGCUUGUGAGACUUGUUUCCAUAAAUUUAAUCUGACACAUUUAAUUUAGAUAUGUCCUCUAGACUGCACUUGCCAUGCAAUUAUGCUUUUUACAAAUGCUUCAUUGCCUUUCUUUCAUUUUUAUAUCCUUUCAGCUAUACAUAUACUCUGAUUCUACAGGGGAAUUAAAUAAUAUUUCUGCGAAUAAUUCUGUGAUUUUUAUUUUUUUUAACUCAAACUAUUUUUUUUCUCAGUGAAACAUAAUAGGAGUUGUUUUGCAGUAUGUUCACACUGCUCUUUUUCUAUUAUUUGUUAUUAUUAAAUUAUAUAUAUAUAUAUAUAUAUAUAUAUAUAUAUAUAUAUAUAUAUAUAUAUAUAUAUAUUCUUUGGAGCAAGUUAAAAUAAAAAAAUGAAUUUUUAAGUUUUUGAAUUAUUGUUAUUAUUGCCAUUUUUCAAAUUCUUGUAUAGUAUAAUGGUGGUACAAAUAUUAUUAUUUUAGUUCA
ensembl:lncRNA